CCUACGGGUGGCAGCAGUGAGGAAUAUUGGUCAAUGGCCGGAAGGCUGAACCAGCCAUGCCGCGUGAAGGUCAGUGCCCUAUGGGCGUUAAACUUCUUUUGUGCGGAGCAAUUAUUGUCACGUUUGGCCAGGCGGGUGUACCGUUCGAAUAAGCAUCGGCUAACUCCGGGCCAGCAGCCGCGGUAAUACGGGGGAUGCAAGCGUUAUCCGGAUUUAUUGGGUUUAAAGGGUGCGUAGGCUGUGAGGUAAGUCAGCGGUGAAAUGCCCCCGCGCAACGGGGUGAAGUGCCAUUGAUACGGCCUUGCUGGAAUGCGGAUGCCGUGGGAGGAAUGUGUGGUGUAGCGGUGAAAUGCAGAGAUAUCACACAGAACACCGAUUGCGAAGGCAUCUCACGAAUCCGCGAUUGACGCUGAUGCACGAAAGCGUGGGUAUCAAACAGGAUUAGAUACCCGUGUAGUC
rnacentral:rRNA from 1 species